rnacentral:rRNA from 1 species
CAGCCGCCGCGGUAAUACGUAGGGUGCGAGCGUUAAUCGGAUUUACUGGGCGUAAAGCGUGCGCAGGCGGCCCGUUAAGACAGGUGUGAAAUCCCUGGGCUCAACCUAGGAAUUGCGCUUGUGACUGGCGGGCUCGAGUACGGUAGAGGGGGGUGGAAUUCCUGGUGUAGCAGUGAAAUGCGUAGAGAUCAGGAGGAACACCGAUGGCGAAGGCAGCCCCCUGGGCCUGUACUGACGCUCAUGCACGAAAGCGUGGGGAGCAAACAGGAUUAGAUCCCCUGGUAGUCCACGCCCUAAACGAUGGGUACUAGCCGUUUGGUGCGCGAUAGCGCUGAGUGGCGAAGCUAACGCGUGAAGUACCCCGCCUGGGGAGUACGGCCGCAAGGUUGAAACUUAAAGGAAUUAGGCGGG